GGGGAACUUAAACAGCAUGUACUGCUGUUCCAACAUCCAGACAACAGUGAUUGACCCUAAAGACUGCUGACACUGUGACCUACAGCACUGUGAGAGCUGCUUCCUCUGCUGCUGCAGUUUCCAUUGAUCCGAACAGCAUCUAUUCCACCGUCAACUGACUAAAUGAGUGUUCUCUUGAAAAAGUGACCAUUUCAUCACAGAAAUGUUGCUGGUUUGAAUCCAAUAUGUGAAGAAAACUGAAAGAAUAUAAUAUUUCAGUAAUAAUACGGAAAUCUGUGAAAGGAAAAAGGUUUUAUGCUUAUCAAUAUCUUUUUGAUUUAGUGUUUUAUAAAAGGGAUCCUGCUAGCACCAUUGAUAUAGACCACAUAUGUUAAAAACAACAGGUCUUUGGUUAUGUUCUGUUUCCUCUGGCUUCUUAUUUUCUGAUGAGGUCUGAUUGGGUCUUUCAAUUUUUCUCGUCUCCCGCUAUUCUAUUUCUGAUUGUCCUGUUUUAUCUUCUCUCUACAGACACAUUUUGAUUUAGUUUGUUUUUCUUGCAGUUUAUCAUUUUUAUGAAGUCCCUGCCAAAAUUAGCCUCUCUUUAAUUGUUUAUUUUAUUUCUUGACAAGUUUUUCCUAUUUUCAUCCGUUUUGGCCCUAAACCUCCACAUCCCACCCUUAUUUGUGAGACUACUUCAAGGCUUGGAGAUGGUCAAAACAUGAGUUUUUACUAGUUUUAAAUAACCUAUCCCAAUAUAGAUUCCAGUGGCAGAUCUGGUCUUUCAAGGAGGGUAAGCUCAAUUUCAAGAUCGCUGAUUUGCUCAUUUCACUGUCAAUCAAAAAGGGAUUCAGCCUCAGGCAGAUCAUCCAAUCAUCAUACAGAAGCUGAGCGUCCGCGCCAGCCGAGGCCAGCCCACUGCCCCAUAGACGCCCAGAGACACUGAGCGCCCAGCAUUUUUGCUUCGCUUUUGAACUCACUGUUUAAAGUACUGUGAAGCUGCGGAUGAGGUCCGCUGUGAGGUGGGGGCGGCAUACAGCAGUGGGUGCAGGGUCUGUGUGCGGUGCUUGUGCUAUUUGGAUGUGUCUAUUGGCUUUUCGGGGGUAAAGCUCUGGGGAUGUGCCCCUGUGGGGAGGGGAAUCAUGGCAUUUGUGCUCGGGGGCAAGUUUUCGAUAUCUGUGUCCAGGUUGGGGCUGGCCCAGUAGAAAGUUGAUGUUGGAGUUCAUGAGGGUGGGAGAUUCAUGCGGUUGAGAUUAGAAUUCAUUGUGACUCUGUGUGCCUGUUUUUCUGUCAGGUUGGGUCUUGGGCCACCCCUUCUCUUUCAUCAUCUUAGGUCCCCAAUCAAAUGUGGGGCCUAUUUCCCCCUGUCACAGUCCCUGCCAGGGGCUGGUGUCUCUGACUUCCAGUAUGCUGGUGGUUCUGUGUCCAGAGCUGGGUGCUGGCGUGUGUACCGGCUCACUCCCAGUGGCUGCUUGGUGGGGCCUGGGCCCCUUGAUUCUGUUGGGCCUCUGCUCGGGGGUGGUGUGCACUUGGAUCUCUAGUCUCUGGGUCCAUGGCUGGAUCUGCACCAACGUAGCCAGCUGCCGGCUGGUGCUGUGGGCUUCUCCUUGGGUUCUCCUCUGCUCUUCUCUGUGUGGUGGUGGGUUGUUGUGGUGGGGGUGUGCGGUAGGCCUGUGCGCUUGGGGGCCUUUUUGAUGUCUGUGGCUCAGAUCUCCUCCAUGUCUGCCUCAGGUCCUAGGAGACAGGAAUGUGCUCCUCACAGCCGCUAAUGAAUAUUCUGAUGGAGAAGCCUUAGCCUUAUUUCUUAUUUUGCAAGCUCACACACACACCACAGGUGUUUGGAUUCAGAUGUUUACAGCUAUACAGAUAUACUCUAUACUGAGCUGCAGUUGCCACUAAAUACAUCUUGUAUUAAUUAGUACCGUGUACUUUUCUGUAACGUUGUUGGUAUAUAUUUGUUUGUUUGUCCCUUUGAUUUUCUUUUUUUUCUCUCUACUUCUCUCUCUGAUUUUGCAAGUGUAGAAGCAGACUUCUAGUGUUAUCUUGUAUUCUCUUUAUUCUUCUUUCUAUCCUCCUUUUAACUUUUUGCCCCACCUCCUGACCUAUCUAUCUUCUUUUUACCCUUGCGUUUCCAUUGCAUUUGAAAUAAUCCAAAAGCAAUUUGUAAUAAAGUCUUUAAAAUAUAAAUUACUCUUUUCUAUAAAACUAUCUUUUCUAUAAGGUUAAACAACUUUGCAAAGCUUUUAAACAAGAAGUGACUAACUGUUGUUACUAUGAUCAUUGCAGGUUUUUGAGGGUCUAAAUUUAAAAAGCAGAACCAUGAGACUUUUUUUCAGCCUCAGCUUCCAUGUGCACACAAGUAAGCAACAGAAACUAGCACCUCAGACAUCACUGAAACAGUCCUGAUAUGUUUCACAUGACAUCAUCCCUGAAAACCAACGUUUUAGUCUUGUUCAUUGUUAAAUGUUUAGAAAUGCUUCUGAAAUUAAUUUAGGAGGUAAAUAAAAAAGUUAAAUGUUAAAAAUCUUUGUCUUUAUAAUAGGUUUCUGAAACAUAAAAAGAUUAAAACACCAACAAGCGCUUUCAGUGAGAAAAUACAGAGAAGUCAGUUUGAGGAAGUAUCAUCGCCCAACCUCCAUGGAGCUCAUAUGUAUUUAUUUUUAAUAAGAAGCCAUUUUACACACAGAGUCAUUUGUGUGCAUGAAAAGAAGAGAGGCAGAUAAGCAAAAUGGGUGAAUUAGGAUGGAUUCAGCUGUUUAAUUCUGAUGUUUGAUUUUACAGGUAAGACUGCAUUAUACAAACAUUAAAUAAAAAUGUAAAAAAGA